GGUGCUCUGAGGCUGGGAUUUCACUUUUAAGGACAAUCAGUCAAGGAAAUUAAGGAGACUGCUACCAUUUGUCUGCUUCGGAUGCCAACAUCGAUUACAGAAGGAAUGGAGUGAAACUGCAUGGGCUGGGUCAACAGUGAAGCCCACAGCGUAGCAAGAAGUGGAGCGUUAGACUGGCAAAAUUUGAAAGCCAGAAGA